UUGAGCUCAUGAACUGAGUUCACCUGGUUAUCAGAAAGACCUUACGAAGUUUGGAUUUGCUGUCAUCAUUGUCCCUUAUGUUGAGAUCAAGCUCCAGACUCAUCCGCAUAUUCCCUGCCCCAGCCUUGCAGUCAACCAUUUCUCCAAGAAGCCCUGGUUCCUUUUAUUGGAGCAUGGUAUUAGAAACCAACAUCUGGGAGUACGGUGUGUCCAUUGCUUCUGAGGUGUUGUUGCUUCUAGGACCUCUCAGAAAACAGAGCUAGAAUUUACACGUGUGCAUUACUAACCCUCAGAAGUUACUCCUAUCGUUUGUCAAUGAUGUCCUUAUGGCUUCUUAACAUGCCUUACAAAGACAGACAAAUAGAGAUGGAGACUAUCCACCCUCUUGAUACGUGUGUUUAUGCCUCAACAAUUACUAUUCCAGUGUUUCAUUUAAUCCUGAUCAUUUCAUUUGCCUGGUGAUACAAAUAUAUAUUUUUUCUAUCCUCUCAAUUUCUCUCUCUCUCUCUCCUCCCCAUUUCCUUCUUUCUCUCCUUCCUUCCUUCACUUCAGCAUUUCCCAAGCUAUUUUCAAAUAACUUACUUUAAUGUGAGAUGUGAAGAGAUUUUGAAAAACAGUACUGCCUUGGUCUUUUAGGAAAUACUACAUCCUCCCUCCAACAUCUGUAAAAACAUGUUAGCUUAUUAAAAACAAUUAUGAU